GGAUUAGAUACCUUGGUAGUCCACGCCGUAAACGAUGUCUACUAGCAGCUCGGUUCGUUUAGAACGGUUUUGCGCAGCUAACGCGUUGAGUAGACCGCCUGGGGAGUACGGCCGCAAGGUUAAAACUCAAAUGAAUUGACGGGGGCCCGCACAAGCGGUGGAGCAUGUGGUUUAAUUCGAUGCAACGCGAAGAACCUUACCAUCCCUUGACAUCCAGAGAACUUUCUAGAGAUAGAUUGGUGCCUUCGGGAGCUCUGAGACAGGUGCUGCAUGGCUGUCGUCAGCUCGUGUUG
rnacentral:rRNA from 1 species